AUUUUUCCAUAGACGUCGAACAAAUUCAUCUUUAGACGAUCAAAUGCAAAAAAUAGAAAAAGAAUCUAUUCUUAUUGGACAUGAUGUAAAUGGAAAACAUCAAGAGGAUGAAUCUGCAACCAUUUCUUCAAUUAUUAUGUUCUCGGAAAAAUUAGGCUACCUCCUCAAAAACUUAAUACAUUAGAUUUUUCUAAUUCAAAAAGAGAAUAUGGUUCUCGAUCUCGGUCUGCUAAUAGCUCUUUAUUUUAUGAACAAGUAGCAAAUGGAGAGACUGUGCCUCGAGAAUUGCUAUUAUAUUCAAAAUCAUUGCGAUCUGUGAUAUGCAAAACUUGUAAAUUAAUUGGAAAAAAUGACUCGUCUUUAACACGCCGUUAUAAAGAUUGGAAGAAUGCCUCACAAUUUUUAUAUUCCAUGAGAGAAGUAACAAACAUCGCGAAAAUGUACAAAUCUGGCUUUUAGGAUUUAGAUUGCUGGGUGGAUUAGAUACUGCUUUGGAGAAAAGCUACGAUAAAGAGUAUCAGUAUUGCAAAAAAACCCUUCAGCGGAUUCUUAGUGUAAUUAAAUUUCUGCAUACUCGAGCAUUAGCCUUCAGAUUAAGUAAUGGAACUUUUGUUUCAGAGCACAAAUGAAAUUAUUUAGGCAUAUCAGAACUCGUUGCGGAAUACUAUCGACUUUUAAAAGAUCAUAUUAAGGGUACCUUUUCACGGAGGCCUGUUUUUUACUAAUCGUUGAAUUUAUUUGACACAUCGAGUUCGUAUCUAGGUUCUCAACCGAUAAAAUUUUCCAUAAAUCAACAAGGAGCUAGAAAUGAAUCUUAUGACAAUUAUUAAUUCCACGAUUAAUUGAAAACAGGCCUCCGUGAAAAGGUACCCUAAGGGAAACUUUUCACGGAGACCUGUUGUAAAUUAAUCUUUGUAUUAAUUUGACACAUCGAGUUCAUAUCUAGGUUCUCAACCAAUCAAAUUUCCCAUAAACCAACAAAGUAGGUAUACGGAAAAAAAUCUUUAACGGGCCUCGUAGCAGAAACCACGGCACUGAUGUGGUU